UGCUAACUGAUGACACUUUCAGACACCUUGUGGCCUUACCUUCAAACUAUAAAUUGGGUGGUCCUUUCUGAGCAAACAUCUCUCUGCUAUUCGGAACUUCCAAGGGCUUCUCAACAGCACUGCUUCUCUCCCCCUGGUCUCCUUCGUAAAAAAGUAUAAACCUAAAAACACAGGUCCACCUACUGAACAUGUGGGAGGUAGAGAAGAAGCCUCCUACAGACAAGAAGCAGAGAACAGAAAUUGGGAGUAAAUGGAUUCACGCGGAAGGAUCACAGACACACAAGGGAAGAGACACUGACCCCAGAAAACAACGCCAAGAAUGGCA